rnacentral:lncRNA from 1 species
UUAUUUCCAACAUUGAUUCAAGGACUGGAUCUGUGCCAUACAGCAAUGAAGUGGUUCUCCAUUUUCCACGUAUUCAGGCACAUCAACGUAAACAACCACUAAUGCAAAGGGAAGUAAGUAGCAUGUGAUUUCCUAUUUUCCAUUGCGUUGGAACUAGCGGCCACUCGCCAUCCGUGCAGCGCAGCCGCUGAAACGGCCAAAGCUAUUUACGAUGCGGUGGGCAGCCGAUUCGGCGGCUGCGAGCACUCCUCCUAGCUUGGCUUCUUGAGGACGGCGAGCGGUGUGCAGCCCAUUGCCCGGCCAUCUUUGGCACCAUCGCUGCCGUCUCCGACCUCCGUGGUCGUCGACGUCGAGUCGCUACCUAUCACGCACUCGCCUUCGUGUUAGUGUCGACUAGGGCCUCCGUCCUAAGCUUUGGCUUCCGCGUGAGCGGCUCCUCUAGCACCGCCGCGGUCCGCCUUCGCUGUGAAGCGCUCACCACUGCCUCAUGUCCCUCGCCGUCCUGGUGGCUAGCCCACCGUCGAGCGGCCACUCCGACCGCGCUGGCACAUGGAGCCCAGCGACGCUCGGGCUCGCGAACAGCGCCUUCAAAGUUGUUGCGCCUGGCAUACACCUCCAUGGUGGCUCCUCCUCUGUGGAUGAGCGCGGCGGGAUAUUUUCUCAUCUCCGGUGAUGCGGCCAUCCGGCCGGCGCUGGCGUCGCCUCCUGCCUCGAUGUGCAUUUGGGAUAGAAAGCUACUGGAUUUCUUUAGUCGCUCUCUCUCUUAUCCGACUAGUUGACCACACUAGUGCUUAAAUUUCUGUAAAUAUAUUGAGUACUAUGUAUUCCAUAUAAUAUGUUGAUGUAAUAUAUCUUCAUGUUUCUUACAUGUUGAGACUAAUUACAUCUAUUAUUUGCAAUUGAGAUUUUUACCCCUCGUGAAGAUAAAUUCAAUACCUCUAAAGUAUAGAUUUACAAUUGAGAAUUUUCUUCUCUCG